UAAUAAUUCAGAACUAAGAAUGUUUACAUCAUUGCCAGUUCAUUCGUCAGACUCUGACUAUUGGAAAAAGUUAGUUGUCUUUGAUUCAGAAAUCUAUUAUUAACGAUUCUGGUUUAAUGUGCGAUGAAGACCUUGAAAUUUUUGAAAGUGGAGAAGAGACAGAUGACUGUAGCACAAAUCAUGAAAUUGAUUUUGUUGUAAUAAUGUUUUUUUAAGUUUGUUAUUAUAA